AAGGGUGCGUAACACGUGGGCAACCUAGCCCUAGAAGUAGGGGGAUAGCUCGUCGAAAAGGCGAAUUAAUACCGAAUGUGGCUACUGGUGACAUCACCGGGACGCCAAAGCUGGGGUUAAACCUAGCGCUUCUGGAUGGGCCCGCGGCUAUCAGCUAGUUGGUGAGGUAACGGCUCACCAAGGCUAUGACGGGUAGCCGGUCUGAGAGGACGACCAGCCACACUGAAACUGAGACACGGUCCAGACACCUACGGGUGGCAGCAGUCGAGAAUUUUUCUCAAUGGGGGAAACCCUGAAGGAGCGACGCCGCGUGGGAGGAUGAAGGUCUUCGGAUUGUAAACUCCUGUCAUUGGUGAACAAGGUCUAAGGAGUAACUGCCUCUGGGAUUGAUAGUAGCCGAAGAGGAAGAGACGGCUAACUCUGUGCCAGCAGCCGCGG
rnacentral:rRNA from 1 species